CCACAGACCCACCCUGUAAUUUCCCCAGUUCUUGAACACAGUUAAAGGCUCCCUACACUAUGUAGUAAGGGUCAUGAGCAUAAGAAGGGCCAAAUAAAAUCCCCUAGAUGUACCCCUUUCUAACAAAAUAAACCCAAAGCAAGAGCACACCUCCGUGGAAACGAGAGGACGGAACCAACUUCAAAGACGUAAAAGACACAGGGAUGACCGCCAGAAGCUGUUUUCAUCUUACAGUCCAGAAACACACCUUCACUGUCACAGCUCAGGGCUUCAUCAACACUCCAGCUAUCUUCCAUUAUUUGGUCCACAGAGACUCCGGGCAUCUCAACACCUCACACGUCCACUACACUGUUAGUGCAACCAGCAAAUCCUGUAUCCAUACCCACACUUGGUGCCAUCUCACUUUCUACUUUUUGCCAACUUAAGAGGUGGGAAAAGAUACCAUUACUCUUUCAA